UAGAUGUUAACUCUUCCGCUGCUCAUACUUUUAGUGAUUGGAGUAUUGAAGACCACCACACACAAGAAGUAGAAAACUUCCAGUUUGCAGACAUCGAUCUCCUCCACCUCCAGCACUGUACGCCGACUCUCUUUGAGCCUGGGUGACUUUGAUGGUAUUAUCAAACAAAUGCACAUUUCUUCAGAAGGCUUCAUCUGAAAAAUUAAUAUCCAGGACUAAG